rnacentral:lncRNA from 1 species
CCUUGAAAAAUGUGUUUGUAAGAAAACAAUACUUUUAAUGAGCUUUCAAAUCACUUGUGAAGCAUUUAAAUCAGAAAAAAAUUAAGUUUGGAGAUGUAUUAAUUGAGAAAAGCUUGGUUGAGAAAAAAAGUUGACUCAUCAUCUCAAGGAGUCAACUAUAGUAUAUUCUAGCACCGGCACACAGCUUUGGUAUAUUUGCGAGUCAACUUAUAGGUGGC